ACAUAUCCAGGACUAAAUAGCCUAAAAGCACCAGAUUCCAUCUGACAUUGGAAGCUAAGCAGGAUCUGCCCAGGUUAGUACUUGGAUGAGAGACUACCAGCAAAUAUCAAGGGAAAUAUGUU
rnacentral:rRNA from 1 species